GGAAUAUUGGUCAAUGGGCGCGAGCCUGAACCAGCCAAGUAGCGUGCAGGACGACGGCCCUAUGGGUUGUAAACUGCUUUUAUGCGGGGAUAAAGUGCGGCACGUGUGCCGUUUUGUAGGUACCGCAUGAAUAAGGACCGGCUAAUUCCGUGCCAGCAGCCGCGGUAAUACGGAAGGUCCGGGCGUUAUCCGGAUUUAUUGGGUUUAAAGGGAGCGCAGGCGGGUUGUUAAGCGUGACGUGAAAUGUAGCCGCUCAACGGCUGAACUGCGUCGCGAACUGGCAGUCUUGAGUGAGUACGACGCUGGCGGAAUUCGUGGUGUAGCGGUGAAAUGCUUAGAUAUCACGAAGAACUCCGAUUGCGAAGGCAGCCGGCGAGUCCUCAACUGACGCUAAUGCUCGAAAGUGCGGGUAUCGAACA
rnacentral:rRNA from 1 species